GCUUCGACAAGUUCCCGAUUUCCAUUGGAAUGUUUCCAGCAAAAUUAUUGAACGACAGAGAAAGUAGUUCAAGAUUCGUGCAUGUUCCCAAGCUUGGAGGAAUGUUGUCACUCAUUUGAUUCGCUGAAAUUCUUAGCUUUUGUAGCUUUGGAAGAUUUGUGCAGAUAUCCAUGGGAAGGUGACCAGAGAGACUAUUGCUUCCUAAACCAAUUUCUAUCAAAGAAGAGAUGUAGAAAAUCUUGUUAGGAAUAUCCCCAUUGAGUAUGUUAUGGGAGAAAUUUAAAAUCUGUAGAUUUACAAGAGAUCCAAAACUUGAUGGAAUGGAACCAUUUAGCUCAUUGUAUUGCAUCUCUAUUUCUCGAAGUUGGAUCAAAUUACCCACUUCAUCAGGGAUAAGUCCGUGGAAAUUGUUGUUGCUAAUAAUCAAGGAUCUCAAAAAAGAGAGUUCGCCGAUCUCUUUUGCAAUAGUACCUUGCAAGCCCAUAUUUGUUAAAUGUAAGCCUCUAACUCUUCGAUGUCUUUUGCCACAAGUAAUACCAAUCCAAUUACAGAACGAGGUUCCAUGUGACCAAUUUUUGGCCAAUAUUUCAUUAGGAUCAAAAAUUUGAGAUUUGAAGGCUAAAAGAGCAUGCUCGUCAGUGGAGCUAUUGAGAGAUGCAACAAUAUAGAUAAGCAAAUAAAUCAUUGUUAGCAAUGUAAAGAUCACAUUUGAUCCCAUGGCUAAUUUAAAUGCAUAAAGAAGUUAGGAAGGUGGCUCUAAUAAGGUGUUUGAUAUAAUUUAUAUGAAUUA
rnacentral:lncRNA from 1 species